rnacentral:rRNA from 1 species
ACCUGAGGGUAAUACUCUAUAGGGAAUGCAUUCUGGAAGGAAGCAUUCUUUAAACGUAAGGCGAUAUGAUGAGACUGCGGCGGAUUAGGUAGUUGGUAAGGUAACGGCUUACCAAGCCUGUGAUCCGUACGGGCCUUGGAAGAGGUAACCCGGAGAGGGACACUGAGAUACUGGUCCCAGCCCUACGGGGUGCAGCAGGCGCGAAAACUUCACAAUGCACGAAAGUGUGAUGGGGGAACUCAAAGUGCCUAUGUUUUACAUAGGCUUUUACCGACUCAAAAUUAGUCGGAGAAUAAGUGGUGGGCAAGACUGGUGCCAGCCGCCGCGGUAACACCAGCAUCACAAGUGGGAGCCGAUAUUAUUGGGCCUAAAGCGUCCGUAGCAGGUCUAUUAAAUUGCUUGUGAAAUCGGAUAGCUCAACUAUUCGGAUUGCAGGUAAGACUGAUAGACUAGAGACCGGGGGACGUAUGAGGUAUUCAAAGGGGAGCGGUAAAAUGCGAGAAUCCUUUGAAGACCACCUGUUGCGAAGGCGUCAUACAACAACGGGUCUGACUGUGAGGGUCGAAAGCUAGGGGAGCGAACUGGAUUAGAUACCCAAGUAGUCCUAGCCAUAAACGCUGCGAGUUAGGUGUCGCAUAAUCUACGGGAUUAUGCGGUAUCGGAGCGAA